rnacentral:rRNA from 2 species
UACAGAGGUCCCAAGCGUUGUUCGGAUUCACUGGGCGUAAAGGGUGCGUAGGUGGUCAGGUAAGUCUGAUGUGAAAUCUCUGAGCUUAACUCAGAAACUGCAUUGGAUACUAUCUGGCUAGAGAGUCGGAGGGGGGACUGGAAUACUUGGUGUAGCAGUGAAAUGCGUAGAUAUCAAGUGGAACACCAGUGGCGAAGGCGAGUCCCUGGACGACUUCUGACACUGAGGCACGAAAGCUAGGGGAGCAAACAGG